rnacentral:tRNA from 1 species
GUCUCCUUAGUUUAAUGGAUAAAACUACCGCCUCCUAAGCGGUUGCUACAGGUUCGAUUCCUGUAGGGGACACCA